rnacentral:rRNA from 1 species
GAGUGGCGAACGGGUGAGUAACACGUGGGUAACCUGCCCAGAAGUAGGGGAUAACACCUGGAAACAGAUGCUAAUACCGUAUAAUAGAGAAAACCGCAUGGUUUUCUUUUAAAAGAUGGCUCUGCUAUCACUUCUGGAUGGACCCGCGGCGUAUUAGCUAGUUGGUGAGGUAAAGGCUCACCAAGGCAGUGAUACGUAGCCGACCUGAGAGGGUAAUCGGCCACAUUGGGACUGAGACACGGCCCAGACUCCUACGGGAGGCAGCAGUAGGGAAUCUUCCACAAUGGACGCAAGUCUGAUGGAGCAACGCCGCGUGAGUGAAGAAGGGUUUCGGCUCGUAAAGCUCUGUUGUUAAAGAAGAACGUGGGUAAGAGUAACUGUUUACCCAGUGACGGUAUUUAACCAGAAAGCCACGGCUAACUACGUGCCAGCAGCCGCGGUAAUACGUAGGUGGCAAGCGUUAUCCGGAUUUAUUGGGCGUAAAGCGAGCGCAGGCGGUCUUUUAAGUCUAAUGUGAAAGCCUUCGGCUCAACCGAAGAAGUGCAUUGGAAACUGGGAGACUUGAGUGCAGAAGAGGACAGUGGAACUCCAUGUGUAGCGGUGAAAUGCGUAGAUAUAUGGAAGAACACCAGUGGCGAAGGCGGCUGUCUGGUCUGCAACUGACGCUGAGGCUCGAAAGCAUGGGUAGCGAACAGGAUUAGAUACCCUGGUAGUCCAUGCCGUAAACGAUGAUUACUAAGUGUUGGAGGGUUUCCGCCCUUCAGUGCUGCAGCUAACGCAUUAAGUAAUCCGCCUGGGGAGUACGACCGCAAGGUUGAAACUCAAAAGAAUUGACGGGGGCCCGCACAAGCGGUGGAGCAUGUGGUUUAAUUCGAAGCUACGCGAAGAACCUUACCAGGUCUUGACAUCUUCUGACAGUCUAAGAGAUUAGAGGUUCCCUUCGGGGACAGAAUGACAGGUGGUGCAUGGUUGUCGUCAGCUCGUGUCGUGAGAUGUUGGGUUAAGUCCCGCAACGAGCGCAACCCUUAUUACUAGUUGCCAGCAUUAAGUUGGGCACUCUAGUGAGACUGCCGGUGACAAACCGGAGGAAGGUGGGGACGACGUCAAAUCAUCAUGCCCCUUAUGACCUGGGCUACACACGUGCUACAAUGGAUGGUACAACGAGUCGCGAGACCGCGAGGUUAAGCUAAUCUCUUAAAACCAUUCUCAGUUCGGACUGUAGGCUGCAACUCGCCUACACGAAGUCGGAAUCGCUAGUAAUCGCGGAUCAGCAUGCCGCGGUGAAUACGUUCCCGGGCCUUGUACACACCGCCCGUCACACCAUGAGAGUUUGUAACACCCAAAGCCGGUGGGGUAACCUUUUAGGAGCUAGCCGUCUAAGGUGGG